AGAUGGAGAAGGGCUUUUGAAAGGGUGAAAUGGGCUUGCAUUGCUUCGGGUAUCUGCCUCAUACAUUCGAUCUCGUUGUUCUCGGCUAUACUCGCUUGAAUCUCUACGACGUUCAGGCUGCAAUACGAAUACCUUUAUCAUGCUGCAAUGGAAAAGAAGGGGCAAACUCAGAUGUCAUCUACAGAUUCGAAAGUUUUGUUUGGCGGCUGAAACAGAUAAAUAGGUGUUUACGUAAUAGAGUACCGUGCCAUAUCCGUACACAGGAGGCCUAGGGUGGGAGUUGGGGACGCGUUCAGACGCAGGUUGUUUCGGGUAUGUUCUUUGUUCACGGUUGAUAGGGAAAUCGUACUCUGUCUCAGCUCUUUUGUUGGAGAGAUACGAAGGUGGCGGAGAUCUACCAGCGGCGGGAUGAGGAGGGGUCGCCGGAUUGCUCUUGCUGGCACUUUUCUUCCCGAACAGUCCUGAAAGAGACGUACCAAACCACACAAAAUUGGUCAACGUUAGAAGUUAUCAACAUAAAAUACUUCUGGAAAGAUAAAAGGAGUUGAGAAAAGAAAAUGAUCCUUGUCUUUAACCAUCACCACCGGCAGACCAGAUUCAAACAUUCUGGCGACUUUUUCCGGUGGUAAUUCAUAUUUGGCAAAGUGUAAGUGUGAAGGGACUUUCCAGAGUUGGAAAAUUACCUGAGCGUUUUCCAUCUUUCUUUGCUUUGUUUGAACCGAAGAAGUCCAUUUGGUAAACUGGAUUGGUUAAAUAAUUUGCCUGUAAAUCAUGCCAAUGUUAACUGGUUACACGUAUAUGUACACGCCAAAGUUUUAUAUAUAGUACCUGGAAUUUUUGAAGGAAAAGCUGAGUUCUGA